CCUGAAACAUGCAGCAGAUGAAGACAGCGGCCCUCGUUGGACAAAAACCACAUCUGCUUCCCUUUAAAAGAAAUGACAAACAGAAUAGCUGCUCACCAUUCACAGCAACAGAGUCUAGAACUUAAGAUGCUCCAAGCAUCUUAACACCUUCUCAACUCAACGCACCAACGGAAGGGUCACCAUGUAUAAAGAAAAAUGUGUUCUUCCAUUUAAUGUUUUCCCUUUCAGUAGGACCCCAUCACCCUUUUUUAAGUAACAGCUUUAUUAAGAUAUAAUCUACACCAUGCUAGGCAUGUUUGUGGCUAUUAUCUCAUUUAAUCCAUAUCAUCAUUCCAUUGCACUAAUUUGAAAACCAAAGCUCAGAGAAGUAAACGUUCUCAGAGCCACACAGUUGCUCCAUGGUAGAGGCAGGAUUUGAACCUGGAUCGCCCCAAGUCCAAUCCCAAAGAUACUUCCACUACUCCAUGUUUCUCGUGCAGUAGAUGGCAGCUGCCCUUUAUCAUUUUAUUAUGGUAUGUUUUAGAGACAGCAAGGGCCUGUACUUUUGUUUGGCUUACAGAAACUCAAAUGCAUGCAAUGUAUCACUUCACCCAUGCAUAUCCCUGGGUUGAAAAUAUGCCCACAUCUAUGGAACACCUAAGAACAAGCAUUACACAAAUAAACCGUUUCCCUAAAUUUCCCUGUGAUUCUUGGAGCUACUGAGACAACACUCCAAUAUUUCUGUAAUUUUUAAGCCCACAAAGGAAAGUUAGUGUAUAACAAAGGCCUUGGUGGCUUUCAGCUGCAUCCUAAGCCUCCUCUCGUUAAAUUUCUUAAUAGACUGGCCUCAUAUCAGAGCCCAGGAGGAGAUGGUCCACCUAGGAAUAAGGGUUCUAAUAGUUAACUCUGAAACUGGAAGCAAGCCAGUGACAAGGAGUUGAAACUAAAGAACACAGGAGACCUCCGUAAACGUCCUUCCAGCAUAGACCUGAGGUUCUGAGCAACUGUGGGUAACGCACAAACCAUU
rnacentral:lncRNA from 10 species